rnacentral:rRNA from 1 species
ACAUGCAAGUCGAACGCUGAAGAUACUCUGCUUGCAGAGUGCGGAUGAGUGGCGAACGGGUGAGCAACACGUGGGGAAUCUGCCUAGGAGUGGGGGAUAACAUUCGGAAACGGAUGCUAAUACCGCAUAUCUUCUUAGACCGCAUGGUCUAUGGAUGAAAGACGGCUUUGCUGUCGCUCUUAGAUGAUCCCGCGGCGUAUUAGUUAGUUGGUGGGGUAAAGGCCUACCAAGACAAUGAUACGUAGCCGACCUGAGAGGGUGAUCGGCCACACUGGGACUGAGACACGGCCCAGACUCCUACGGGAGGCAGCAGUAGGGAAUCUUCCACAAUGGGUGCAAACCUGAUGGAGCAAUGCCGCGUGAAUGAAGAAGGUCUUCGGAUCGUAAAGUUCUGUUAUUAGUGAAGAACAAAUCGAGGAGUAACUGUCUCGAUUUUGACGGUAACUAACCAGAAAGUCACGGCUAACUACGUGCCAGCAGCCGCGGUAAUACGUAGGUGACAAGCGUUGUCCGGAAUUAUUGGGCGUAAAGGGAGCGCAGGCGGUUGGAAAAGUCUGAUGUGAAAGCCCACGGCUUAACCGUGGAAGGUCAUUGGAAACUGUCCAACUUGAAUGCAGAAGAGGUAAGUGGAAUUCCAUGUGUAGCGGUGAAAUGCGUAGAUAUAUGGAGGAACACCAGUGGCGAAGGCGACUUACUGGUCUGUGAUUGACGCUGAGGCUCGAAAGCGUGGGUAGCGAACAGGAUUAGAUACCCUGGUAGUCCACGCCGUAACCGAUGAGUGCUAAGUGUUGGAGGGUUUCCGCCCUUCAGUGCUGGAGUUAACGCAUUAAGCAC